AAAAUAUUAUGCAGUUUUAAACUCCAUGAUACUAUUUUGGUAAGGUUGUUACUAAAUUUGGUUUAAAUAUUUUUUUAUAUGUAGUAAAAUGCAUAGUCAUUAAGUAAGAAAGAAAAAAAUAAAUAUUUAUUUCAUAUAAUAAAUUUAUAACUGUGAAAUUUACUGUGUAUACAACAGAUUAUAGAUUGUUUUUUAGAAUAAUUAUUUUUUUCAAUUUAAAUACCAAAAUAAUCAGUUUUUAAAAAUAAUUAUCAAAAUAACCAUCUUUUUUAACUGAUGAAUCAGUUGAACUGGCGCAUCCAAUAAUCAUUCAAAGGAGGCGUCAUUGAAGCUGACGCAUACUCCCAAUGGCAUUGCACUUAAGCGUCAUGGUAGCUGGCGCAUGCAUAUGCGGUUUAGUUUGUGCGCCAAUGCAUCUGACGCAUGCAUGUAUCAGCUUGUGUCAUGCGUGUGUGGCGCCUAGGGCAUUGCCGCAUGCAUUCAUGGUUUCAUUUAUAAAUAACAUGCGCAUCUCCCAUAUUUCUUCAGACUUCUUACCCUUCAACCCCAUUUUCUUUCAUUCUACUUUAAUCUCCUUCAAUUUUUUGUUCUUUAACCAUGUAUGAAUACGUUCACAAGAGAAAUGUCGAUUUAAUCUUUUCAGCAAUGCAGCCUCCGAUAAAGAUUCGACUUUGGAAUAUAGAAUCGUUUGAACGUCUUAAUCGGACGUUGAACCGUUGGUUAGAUGGAGAAAUUGCAGAUGGUAAAAGGAUUAGAAGAAUUCAAUGGCUUGAGUCCACGUUCAACCAAAAUGGAGAAGUGCAUGUAUGGGUGGAUAUUAAGACUGACAGAGACAUUCACAGGAUGAUGUAUAAUAUGUUCAAAAUUAUUUUGAUGGCUGUAAUCGCUUAGUUAUAGUAAUGAUAUUUUAUUUGUUGUAGUUUGUUGCAUUCUUAUUUAUGUGUUGUUUGUUUGUUGAAUAUGUUGUAUUUGUUUGUGAUGGUAUUUCCUCACAAAGUUAUCAUAUGAAAUAAAUAUUAUUUUUAAUAUAAAGAAAAGGAGGUACAAUUAAAA
rnacentral:lncRNA from 1 species